CAAAAAUAUGAUAUUCAGUACAUUGUGUUCAACAAGGACGGAUAAUUAUAUAAUUUGCAUCCAAUCACUAGUCCAAAAAAUCCAAAAGGUAUAUACAUGAAAACACUAAUUCAUUAAGCUCCUCAACUUACGAGAUUCUUAAAAGUGCAUCGAUGUGCUUAUACCACCUAGAUGCAUUCACAUAUUCAGCUGAUGGGGAUUUUGCUAGAUAUGAAUACACAGUGAUAUCAUCCUUCGAGGCUUGGUACCCGGAGAUGUAACUGCAGGUCAAGAGGUACUCAUAGAGGAUUUUGCUAGAUAUGAAUACACAGUGAUAUCAUCCUUCGAGGCUUGGUACCUGAGACAUGGAUUAAACAAAAAACAUCAGCAUUCGACAUAAAACACCAUCAAAAAGGACAUCUCAGCAGUUAAUGUCACACGAGUAACUCACCCGGAGAUGUAACUACGAGUCAGGAGGUACUCAUCAAGCUUCUUGAGACCAGAAUCAGAGUUAAGGUUGUUGAAUGCAACAGCCAUUGCUUGAUAAUAAUACAAGUCUUU
rnacentral:lncRNA from 1 species